rnacentral:rRNA from 2 species
UGGGGAAUAUUGCACAAUGGGCGCAAGCCUGAUGCAGCAACGCCGCGUGAACGAUGAAGGUCUUCGGAUCGUAAAGUUCUGUUGCAGGGGAAGAUAAUGACGGUACCCUGUGAGGAAGCCCCGGCUAACUACGUGCCAGCAGCCGCGGUAAUACGUAGGGGGCUAGCGUUAUCCGGAUUUACUGGGCGUAAAGGGUGCGUAGGUGGUCUUUCAAGUCGGUGGUUAAAGGCUACGGCUCAACCGUAGUUAGCCUCCGAAACUGGAAGACUUGAGUGCAGGAGAGGAAAGUGGAAUUCCCAGUGUAGCGGUGAAAUGCGUAGAUAUUGGGAGGAACACCAGUGGCGAAGGCGGCUUUCUGGACUGCAACUGACACUGAGGCACGAAAGCGUGGGUAGCAAACAGG